UGGGGGAUAUUGCACAAUGGGCGAAAGCCUGAUGCAGCGACGCCGCGUGGGGGAUGAAGGCUUUCGGGUUGUAAACCUCUUUCGCUAUCGAACAAGGCCCGCUUAGGGUGGGUUGAGGGUAGGUGGAGAAGAAGCGCCGGCUAACUACGUGCCAGCAGCCGCGGUAAUACGUAGGGCGCGAGCGUUGUCCGGAAUUAUUGGGCGUAAAGGGCUUGUAGGCGGCUUGUUGCGCCUGCUGUGAAAACGCGGGGCUUAACUUCGCGCGUGCAGUGGGUACGGGCAGGCUUGAGUGUGGUAGGGGGGACUGGAAUUCCAGGUGUAGCGGUGGAAUGCGCAGAUAUCUGGAGGAACACCGAUGGCGAAGGCAGGUCACUGGGCCAUUACUGACGCUGAGGGGCGAAAGCAUGGGUAGCGAACAGG
rnacentral:rRNA from 1 species